rnacentral:rRNA from 1 species
AUUGAGCGCUGGCGGCAGGCCUAACACAUGCAAGUCGAACGGUAACAGGAAGACGCUUGCUUCUUUGCUGACGAGUGGCGGACGGGUGAGUAAUGUCUGGGAAACUGCCUGAUGGAGGGGGAUAACUACUGGAAACGGUAGCUAAUACCGCAUAACGUCGCAAGACCAAAGAGGGGGACCUUCGGGCCUCUUGCCAUCGGAUGUGCCCAGAUGGGAUUAGCUAGUAGGUGGGGUAACGGCUCACCUAGGCGACGAUCCCUAGCUGGUCUGAGAGGAUGACCAGCCACACUGGAACUGAGACACGGUCCAGACUCCUACGGGAGGCAGCAGUGGGGAAUAUUGCACAAUGGGCGCAAGCCUGAUGCAGCCAUGCCGCGUGUAUGAAGAAGGCCUUCGGGUUGUAAAGUACUUUCAGCGGGGAGGAAGGGAGUAAAGUUAAUACCUUUGCUCAUGGACGUUACCCGCAGAAGAAGCACCGGCUAACUCCGU